UACGUAGGGGGCAAGCGUUGUCCGGAAUUAUUGGGCGUAAAGAGCGUGUAGGCGGUCCGGUAAGUCAGCUGUGAAAGUCAAGGGCUCAACCCUUGAAAGCCGGUUGAUACUGUCGGGCUAGAGUCCGGAAGAGGCGAGUGGAAUUCCCGGUGUAGCGGUGAAAUGCGCAGAUAUCGGGAGGAACACCAAGGGCGAAGGCAGCUCGCUGGGACGGUACUGACGCUGAGACGCGAAAGCGUGGGGAGAAAACAGG
rnacentral:rRNA from 1 species